rnacentral:lncRNA from 1 species
AGAUCGGCCUGCAUAGGGAGCAGGGCUUUGUAAGAUUCUGACAGAAUGCUGAAUAAAAUGUUCAAAAAUAGGAAGUCUUUUUUUUUAUUGAUGUGAUUGGCAUUAGAAGCGAGUUUUAUGGACUUUCCCGUCCACCGAUAGAACUACUUGAGGUGUUUGGCAUUCCAAGGAUGGGGUAAGGGUCUACCCUCCAAGUUUUCCAGUUCAUAUGCCUUCUUUGGCAAGACCUCUGUCACCAGAUAGGGGCCUUCCCAGUUUGGACCCAGGCAUUCAUUGCCUACCUCUCUUUGUGAGGAUCUGACCUCGAAUACAUAUGUUCGCCAUAUGCACUGUCGGGGGAUUGUGUUGAUGAUUGGUACAGGCUUUCCACUGACAUCUUUCGGCGAGCUCCCUGUUCUCUGUGACUUCAUCCACACCAUGGGGUGUGGGAAAUUUGAUAGAAUAGUGAUAUAGGAAAACUGCUGCUCUCAGGCUGAAGAGUAGGGGUUGUCCCAUCAUAGCAUCAUAAGGGGAGGGAGUGUCGAAUACCACGAAUUCGGAGUUUGUCUUCACCUUCCAGGGUGCUGAUCCUGACUCAAUUUUGAGUUUGAUUGAUCCUUUGGCAGAGGUCAAGGCUCCGCUUAAUGCUAGGACCAUAUUCAGGUAUGGUCGAAGGAAGUUAGCAGGGAUACCCAUCCAUUUAAGGGUAUUACUGAAUAGGAUGUUAGGAGCGCUUCCUGUAUCCACCAAGACUUUGGGGAUGGUUACCUCGACCACAGGCAACGAGAUAACCAGAACUCCGGGGUAAGGAUGUGGGUCCGCCUCCUUCUCCUCAAAGGACAGUUGCUCAUCUGUGGCUUUUUUGAGGUUCUUCUCAGUUAUGUCGAUCUCCGAGAGAUUCGUAUUAGCUGGUCUUUUCAAUCUGGCCUCCCCGACUUGCAUGUUCGUCCUGCCCCUUAGCAUGUUGACUUGUGGCCUUGGCAGGUCGACAUUGCAGGCCCUUGCAACAGCUUGAUCCCCUUGGAUAAUUCCUGUCCCAUAAGGAGUGGGAAAUUUCAUGCAAUAAUGAUAAAUUGAGGUGGCAGCUUUCAGUUCGUGCAAAAUGGGUCGUCCCAAUAUUGCAUUAUAAUUGGAUGGCAAAUCGACCACCACAAAAUCUGCUAGGAUCUUUCUUUGGCUAGAAGCUUCGCCCAGCUCCAUGAUAAGGACGAUCUGACCUCGGGCUUCAAUAGGAUCCCCAGAAAAUCCCUGUAGUUUCUUUGGAUAUGGUUGGAGAUAGCGUUCUGAUAUUUUCAACUGC